rnacentral:misc_RNA from 1 species
AACGCACAUUGCGCCCGCCACUCGUGGCGGGCAUGCCUGUCCGAGCGUCAUUUCAACCCUCAAGUAGUGCUUGGUGUUGGGGCUUCCAGUGCUUCUCUGGGCCCUCAAGAGCAGCGGCGAACUCUGCCGUGCCUGGGUGCAGUACUUACUACCCGCUCAGCGCACGGGGGAAGCCUUCGCCGUAAAAAAAAAGCGCGAAGGAGGGAAAGGCAGCUAUUCUGUCUUCUCUCCCGACCCUUUCUUCUCAUGGUUGACCUCGGAUCAGGUAGGAAUACCCGCUGAACUUAA